AUACACAUAUAUAUAUUAAUGAAGGGGGAGGUAAAGCCAUCCUGCUUUUAUUAGAACAAAGAGUUUAUAGAAACUAUUUACAGAAUAUUUGUUAAAAAAAUACAAAAGAGCAAUAAGUUUUUUAUUAUUAUAAAAGAUAGUAGUAUGUAAGUUGACCCGUUAAACUAUUUAAUAUACUUAACAAUCUCAUAAAUGACUUGAAGGAUCUCUAUAUCUUCAAUCUUUAAUAUGCAACUAUAUGAACUCUGUAUCUUGAUGUGAGCAGUCUUUUUCUAAAUAAGAUAAAUCAAUGUCUUGCAAUAUGCAGUGCCAAUAUUGCGAGAUUAUUUUAAAGUUUGAGAUGAAGAUCUAGCAGUUUUUUUGAGUAUAUAUGCUUCCAACUGAAGAAGGUUGAUAAGAUUUCUUGUAGAAUACACUAGAUAGAACUUGAUUUUUUUAAGAAAAUUCGGGUAUUUUGCUCCUUCUAUAUUUUUCAAUAGAUAGAAGCAAUCAACUGAUCCGCAAUAUAUAUAAGAAAUCACAAAAUAUACUGGAAUAUAAAGAACAAAGAAACUACCUACCUAAUCCAUGACAUGCUAUCCCUUGAAAUGUGCAUAAGAAACUAUAUAUCCUAUGUACAAUCUUGUCGAUUAUUAAACGUAUGGAUAGAACCUCUCCCGUUCUCUCUAUAGUAAUCAAUACAGUGGUACAAUAUGAAGCGAAUCCAAGUAUCCGGGGAGAAGAGUGGUACCUCACUGGGGAGAAGAGUGGUACCUCACUCACUAGUGUGAGGUGUCGUCGAACUGCUUUCCCAUCUCCCUGUAACAGAAUCCGGUGAAAAAGGUGAUUAUUUCUCAGUAAGGUGGCUUCUUCCCUCACUGGAACAUCAGCCUCCACCACUUUCUUGGGCCU
rnacentral:lncRNA from 1 species